UAAUUACAAUUAAUUAAGGCCCCGUUAAGAGCGCGCACGCGCCGCCGUCGCCGGUCGUCCCAACAUAUUUUGCUGUCGCAACCGGAAAAAAAGCAUUUCAUGCGUUAUAUCAGUGGGAGCGGAUAGAUAAUUGUUUGUUCGUGUGGCACGCGUCUCUCUCUCUCUCUCUCUCUCUAAUUUCUAUCGAGUCAGCGAUUUCGAAAACUCAUUAAAUUGACGAGAAAACGUUUUUUUUUUCGACGGGUUAGAAAAAUGAAAACUCAGGACUUACGUCGAGAAUCGUCGUACAUAAAUAAAUUUUGUAAAGCACAUCACUUAAAAAGAUAAACAUGCGAUAGUACGCGUAGCUAGAAAUUUUCUUUUAUGAAUCGAGAUUAACGUAGAUUCCUGUGUUUAAGAAAUAACAUAAUCAUUCUUAAAAAUUGAUAAAGCAUGUAAAAAACUACAUGUAUUGUAUAGAGAUCAGCAUCAAAAUGUUAUAAAUACUACAUAUGGAAACAUACUCUAUUUAAGUAAAAAUUAUUCGUUCCAAAAAUUUAUUAAAAACAUAUAUUCUGAAUUCACUAGUAAAUUUAAUAUUUCAAUCAAGAACAUUAAGUUGGAACAAAAAUUCAAUUUGCUUAGCAUUUUGACUUUUCUUCAAUAAUAUUUUAUAAUAUUCUUCGAAAGAUUAUGAAUUCUUUUCUUCAGUACAUACACUUGAGUGAUAGUAAGCUUUUUUAAAAUUUGUGACAAGUAUAUUUUAAGAUUAUUAAUAGGAAAUGUUCUUAGUCAACAAUAACUGUCGGUUAAAAGAAGAAAAGUAAUCGCUUUUCUCAGCAGUAAAAUGAUAUUUUUCUGUAUGUAAUUUUAAUAAUGUAACUUUAUAUUUGUCGGUAUCUAUUUGAAAGCAUUCUUCUCUGUUAAACCGAUUAAACUACGGAUAUAGAGAAGCUCAAUGUACUAUUAGUCAGCUGCUCCAUCUUUCAAGACACUCUGUCUGCAUUCGAGCGACUCAGGGGUCAUCUACAGAGAAGUUAUCGAGGCAUGGAUCGACGGAUGAGACAAAAAUCGGGAAAUUGUUUCGUAACAGCCCUCUCCUCGUAGCAAUAAAAUAAUUCACUCACCAACAACUCAUCACCGUCGAUUUGUCGUUUCGCCACAGCCUUGCAACAUUCUUCUAAUCCGUUCUGUAAAACGAGGAAACAGGAUGCACGAUACUGAUAAGGACUGUAUGGAACGUUGGUCAUGAGCAAGAAAUCUGGGCCAAGUAACGUUUUUUCCGUUAAGUCGAAGGGAAACGGAGUUUGCGGUGAGGAAACGAGGAUCGUUUCUUUAAGCCGGCGUUCGAACGCCGCCCGCUAGUUGCUGAGGAAUGCGUGAAAGUUACGCGCAAUCUCGAUCGAAUACGCGCGAAGAAAUGCAAAGUGCGUCCCUCUCGCCGGCCAAGUUCUCUGGAGAAAAGAAUGUCCCUAACGCUCGAUAAUCGACGCUUCAGGGAAAUGCUCUCAUUACACACACAUGUGGACCUUUCUGUAAAAAAAAAACUCUCUGAAAUUUAUUAAAUCGACAAAAGCAAGACAUGAUCCCGUACAGCGCAGAGGAACUUUGCAGCAACAUCAUCGAAAUGUUGUAUUGUUUUCUGUAUAUGGAAAAGUCUUUUUUUCCCCUCAAAAAUACUUAAACGAAUAUAUACUUUUACGAUAGAA